CCCCACUAGCUGAUCUAUAAAACUCCCUACAUUUCACUGCGGAUCAGCAACCAAUUUUUCCAGGACCCCUCUUGGUAGCAGAGAUCUUCUCUUUCUUUUGCCUACUAAACUUCAGCUCUUAACCUGUGUGUCCGCAUUUUUGAUCUCUGUGGCUGUGAGACAACGAACCUCGGGUGUCGCCCCAGACAAGGCCGCUUCAACAUGAUGCACUUUUUAACAAUAGACGUUGCAUGAACCCCAAAUACCUGAGACAGGUCUCGAUUUAGGAAGUUUAUUUUGCCAAGGUUAAGGAUGCACAGGUGUGACACAGCCUCAGGACGUCCUGAUGACAUGAGCCCAAGGUGGUUGGGGCACAGCUUGGUUUUAUACAUUUUAGGGAGACAUAAGACAUCAAUCAAUAUAUGUAAGAUGGACAUUGGAUCAAUAUGGAAAGGUAGGACAACUCGAAGUGUGGGAGAGGACUUCCAGGGCACAGGUAGGUAAGAGACAAAUGGUUGCAUUCUUUUGAGUUUCUGAUGAGCCCUUCCAAAGGAGGCAAUCAGACAGGCCUUUAUCUCAGUGAGCAGAGAUAACUGAAUAGAAUGAAUGGGAGGCAGGUUUGCACUAAGCAGUUUCCAGCUUGACUUUUCCCUUUAGCUUAGUGAUUCUGGGGUCCCAAGAUUUGCUUUCCUUUCACAGUUGUGACAAGGUUUUCAGAAAUCCAUUGUGGCAAAAAAGAAGCACCUGAACCUUUUUAUUUGGGUAGAAUAAAAACAGAAACAGUAACAGGAUAUUCAGAUAAUAUGCUACAACCAGUUCCUUCCCUGUCCCUGACAAAGGUGCGCCAAGGGAAAUUAAACCACAGGAAAUGUUAUUCAUGUUAAAACAAUCUAUUCAGGACUCAAAACUACAAAUCAAAGAAAAUUUGAAAAACCUUUCCAAUAAGUUUCAGUGAAAACAUUCUUUAUUAGUAAGCAGACAUUUCAAACUUUUUGAUUACAUACAUCAU
rnacentral:lncRNA from 1 species